GCAGCAGUUGUUAAAAGGGAGGGAGAACAAAGAACUUCACAGAGAAAAAAUUAUGAUAACGACAUUUCUUCCUAACUAAAACCAGUAGCUGAUAUGCAAAAUUAUCUCAAAAUCGGUCCGGGAACGUCGAUAGAAGGUGAAGAGUAACCUAUUAGAAUUGACUACACAUUCACUCAUUUGUAGGUUCCCAUGCCGACGCCAGCUUCCCCGCCAUAUGGAAGGAAGCUUUCUCUCGCCUUGGAGUAGAAUACAUAGUAGAGUUCUGAUACAAUGGCAUUGAAGAAAAUGAAGGCUGCACUGGCACUGAAAACUCCCUU
rnacentral:misc_RNA from 1 species